GUUUACGGCCAUACCACCAUGAACAAGCCCAAAUCUAUCUGAUCUUGGAAGCUAAGUAGUGUUGGGCCUGGUUAGUACUUGGAUGGGAGACCACCUAGGAAGACCAGGUGCUGUAGGUG
rnacentral:rRNA from 1 species